rnacentral:rRNA from 1 species
AGCUGUCCUUAGUACGAGAGGACCGGGAUGGACGGACCGCUGGUGCACCGGUUGUUGUAUCAACAGCAUAGCCUGUUAGCAAAGUCCGGAAGGUAUAAACGCUGAAGGCAUCUAAGCGUGAAGCCCCACUAAAGAUGAGAUAUCCCUAAGACCCCUUGAAGACGACGAGGUUGAUAGGGCAGAGGUGGAAGCACGGCAACGUGUGCAGCUGACUGCUACUAAUAGGUCUUGAACUUGAUCUU